AGCGAACGCUGGCGGCAGGCUUAACACAUGCAAGUCGAACGCCACGCAAGGGGAGUGGCAGACGGGUGAGUAACACGUGGGAACGUACCCUUUGGUUCGGAAUAACUUGGGGAAACUCAAGCUAAUACCGGAUAAGCCCUUAUGGGGAAAGGUUUACUGCCGAAGGAUCGGCCCGCGUCUGAUUAGCUAGUUGGUGAGGUAAUGGCUCACCAAGGCGACGAUCAGUAGCUGGUCUGAGAGGAUGAUCAGCCACACUGGGACUGAGACACGGCCCAGACUCCUACGGGAGGCAGCAGUGGGGAAUAUUGGACAAUGGGGGCAACCCUGAUCCAGCCAUGCCGCGUGAGUGAUGAAGGCCUUAGGGUUGUAAAGCUCUUUUACCCGGGACGAUAAUGACUGUACCGGGAGAAUAAGCCCCGGCUAACUUCGUGCCAGCAGCCGCAGUAA
rnacentral:rRNA from 1 species